rnacentral:rRNA from 1 species
UAGUCCACGCCGUAAACGAUGAGUGCUAGAUGUCGGGAGGUUACCUCUCGGUGUCGGAGCUAACGCAUUAAGCACUCCGCCUGGGGAGUACGGUCGCAAGAUUAAAACUCAAAGAAAUUGACGGGGGCCCGCACAAGCGGUGGAUCAUGUGGUUUAAUUCGAAGCAACGCGAAGAACCUUACCUGCCCUUGACAUAGUAGUCGCGGUUUUCAGAGAUGAAUUCCUUCAGUUCGGCUGGACUACAUACAGGUGCUGCAUGGCUGUCGUCGGCUCGUGUCGUGAGAUGUUGGGUUAAGUCCCGCAACGAGCGCAACCCUCAUCAUUAGUUACCAUCAGGUUAAGCUGGGGACUCUAAUGAAACUGCCGGUGAUAAACCGGAGGAAGGUGGGGAUGACGUCAAGUCCUCAUGGCCCUUAUGGGGCAGGGGCUACACACGUGAUACAAUGGCAGUGACAAUAGGCAGC